UUCUCUUUGGAGACAUCUGAUAAAUUUGGAAAAAUACAUAGAAGAUUAACAUGCCUCCUGUGCAAGGACAACAAGGAUAACAGGAAUAAAUUGAGAAUUGUU
rnacentral:snRNA from 1 species